rnacentral:ncRNA from 1 species
UGAUAGUGACAAUCUUGAUGCUAGUGACGAUAUCGAUCGUGAUUUGCGUCUGAAUAGCUAAUUGGUGAGGCAAUAGCUUACUAAGGCGAUGAUCAAUAGACCAGCCACAUUGAGUCUGAUACAUGACCUAGACUCUUAUGGGAGGUAGCAAUAUGGAAUUUUCUGCAAUGGGCGAAAGCCCGACGGAGCAAUGUCGCGUGGAGGUAGAAGGGACACGGAUCGUGAACUAAGUUUCCCGGAGAAGAAGCAAUGAUGGUAGCUUGGAAUAACAAUUGGCAUUGGAACGACGGCGGGGGAGCAAAUCCAAUUAGAAAAACUCACAUUGGUCUGAGGGAUAAUCA